GGUUAAAGCUGGGGAUUGAAAGAUGCUUAUAUUUUUCCUGACCAGACACAAUUGAUAGAUUCAUUACUUUUCAGACACCCGUCCUGAAAAUAAAUGAAGUGCACUGUACACACUGAUGGUCUCUGAUGCGCAGUUUGGGUUCAUACUUCGCCAUCGGAGCCAAUUCAGCGGGGAGACAGAGGGGCGAGAGGCUGUCAUUCUGUUGUUUUUGGAGCUUUAUGCUUUGGGAUUUGAAUAUGAAAUAUAAAUACAGUGGGUUUUAUUUAUCUGAGGAUUUGGUUGGAGAGAUGAUUGAAUAGUGCUGAGCAGAGGGCUUACUCUGCCGCCUUUAGAGGCCCUGUGUGUCCUCGCUUUCAACAAGAUCAGCACUACAAGCGUCUGCUUCACAGAGAGCCAGCCAGCCUCUCUUUUACCUUUUGUUUGCCGCUCUCUCGACAGAUGUGUUCAUAAAUUUCCAUCCCUGCCAUUUCCUCUCUCCCACCUCGCCGCAAACGCAUCUCCAAGAGUCCCUCAUCCUUGAACGCGGCGCUCCCUGAGUUGAGUACGAGUUACGCCACCAAUCUUUGUUGGGAGACCGAAAAGGGGGUUUAUUUCAUAUCAUGCUCCAUAAACCGGCACUAAAACCUGGGAGGGCGAGCAAUCAGGAGGCGAACACAUUGUGGGCCGCUGGGAUUCUCCAACAUGGCUGCACCUCCAACUCCCCCGGACUCACGCCAAGCGUUAAAUCAAAGAUGGGGGAGCCGGCUAUACGCGGGGCUGGAGAUUAGUGCUGGAGAAAUGAUUCCAUGCUAAUUGGAAAAAGAAACCAUACAACACCUUAUAAGCAGAAAACCCAUUAUGCGGCAUCAUGGUGAGAGAGUGGGAGAGAAUUGAAAAUGGGAUGAAUACAAAUGGCACAAGAGUUGAAACGAGAGUGGGCUGAACUUCUGAUGGACGGAUCAGCAUAAUAGGGGGUGAAGGUAUUCAGAUGAAAUCACAAAGUCAUUCCAAAAGGGGCCUGAUCUGAAAGCAAAGGACUCUGGGAAACAAGUUGGAGUUGAGCCAUUUAAGGAGGGUGGAGUGAAAGGUCCAAAAAUCGAUGGAUGGACCCUGCCUGCCUUUUCAUUACAACACCUGACACGAAAGGACAGCGGAUUUCGUCAUUUCAUGAUGGCGCCCUCAGCGUGAAAAGGAGCUGAUAUAAUGCACCGCGGGGCGAGGAGGAGCUGAGAGGGAGAAAAUAGAAAACCAAUGCGGACAGAGUCGCGGCGAGUAAUGGGCAAAGGUUUGGCUGAAAGGUUGGGGUUGUACAGUUAAUUCAGGCUGACAGGGUAGGGGAUAAAAAUGGGUUUCUCUCUCCACAGCCAACGAGAGGGCCACCCUUGUCCAAUCUCUUUGAUGGAGAGAGGAGCGCAUCCCUCCCCUUUUUUUUCUCCCCAGCAAAGGGGGAGACAGCAGCAGAGAGAGAGGGGGGGAGGCGCGUUAUUGAAGGUGAAAAGUUGCAAUGUUUUCUGAGUGGACAGCCUCAAGGGCAGCUGGCAAGAGAUUAGAGGAUGUUAUUAGAAAGCAAUGGGCUGUACCUUCCACUCAUAAUCCUCCCACAUGGGACUGAGUGCGUUUAUCUGUGAGUGCUCCUAACCUGAUGUUAUCUGUGGCAUUACAUCCCAGGGACUAUGAAAAACAGGCCGCACUCCUCUGCUCAGGUAAAUGUUUUUGUUUCUAUUUUUGACACUUUUAUUCGCCUCAAUUUACUUCGUUUAUUUGACUUGUAACAGCAGCGAUCCCCCUCUGAAUACCCCUGAACCGCAGCAGUGUUACAGUGGCUUUCCAAAACACAUUAGCACUGACAGGCUGCAUAAAUAUCAGAGUAAUUUCAAACUACAGGACGAUAUUUUUAGUGAUCUGCAGGAAGUAGAAGCAUAAAGUCAAAACUCUACAGGGGUGGAGCUAAAGGAGAGGCCGGGGUGUCCCAGCCCAGCCCAACCCCCUUAAAAUCUGCCCACUACAACACCGUUAAUCACCACCAGCUAAUUACCACCAUAUGUAAAGUUAUUUGUUUGCCUUACAAAAAAAAUUGAGUGAGGUUAUUGACACUACAUCUUUCUUUAUAUUUUAAAGUCUUGCAUUUCUUUCUAUUCAUAUAACCACUGAACCAUAUUGUUUUAUUACUGGAAUUUUUCUGCAUUUUAAAUUGUGUAUUUUAAUUGUUAUUUUUUUUGUAAAGCAUCUUUGAGCACCUGUAAAAGCAUGUUAUGAAUAAAAUUUAUUUUUUUUAUUUUUUUAUUUUUUCUAUAUUUAUUUUUGUAUUUCAGACAUUUUUUUCCCUCUUUCUGUUUUUCGGACAGAUUUUUUUUCCUGUUUUUCAUACAAUUUUUUUCGUCUUCAUGUUUUUCAAAAUCCUGUGAGAAUCAUAUACAAGUUAACUUUAUUUAGAUACAAACAAACACAAAAAAGGGUUACAAAGCACAGAAGCAUAUUGCACUCCCUUACAGAAAGGAAAUUUUUUUUUUUUUCUAUUUUUUUUUUUAUUUUCCAUAUAUUUUCUAUAUUUAUUCUUGUUUUUCAAACAUUUUUUUUUUCUUUUUUCUUUUUUUCGGCCUUUUUUUUUUUUUUAAAGAAAUAAAAUAUGUUAAAAAAAGACUAAAAACAUGAAUAGAUAAAGUGAAUAAAGUUGGAAUAAACUGACAAAAGAUACAGAGUUGAGAGACACUUUCUGAAAUCCGGACAAAAGCAGAGUUUAGAGGAUUAAGACAUGUUUAGAUGAUGUCUCCUUUUAAAAUGAUCUAAAAAGAGGAUUUAACAGAUAAUAACCUGGUCACCUUCAGUCCACAACCUCAAUACUGGCAGAGCAAAUAGAACGUUAUGAGCUGGCAUAUAUAGACACAAAAACAUUUGUGAGUACGAUCAGAGCAUGUCCUGAUAGCUAAGAAUAACAUGUUAAAAUCAACUCUUUAACAAAGUGAAGGUAAAACCGGAGCGCUGUGAGACGGUACCUCGUUAUUGUUCUGCUGAAGAACCGAGCUGCAGAAUCUGAGAGUCCAAACAGGAGCAGCUGACAGCCUGAAUGACAGUCUCAAGUUUUUUCUAGACGUCAUUUUGGAGAGUCUGUUCAGCUGCACAAAACAAGACGUCACAUUCGGGUUCAGACUGAGUUUAUUGUCACAGAUAAAGCUAAAAUUAAAGUGUGUUAUCUGUCCUUUAUAUGGUGUUUUUAUUAACUGCUAUAGAACAAACUUUCUUGUGUCUAAUAACUCAACAUUUCUGUGUGUGUUCGCAGCAUGGCGUGUGAGCCAACAAAAAUCAAAGAUUCAUUGGCGUCAGCUGCCCCCCAGUUGUUGUUGGACUGUGUUAAUUAUGUUUUGCAUGUGGUAAAAGGUGAAUUUAAUGGCAAAAUGUACGAGGAAAUCCAUUACGGUGCACCUCUUAUAAAAGUUAAAUGACCGUGUUAAGUGCUACCAUCCUCGAUGCUCACUGCGGUCGUAAACUUAAGUUUAAAUGUCCUCCGAGUGACUGAAUUAGCAAAAAAGAGAGCAAAGACUUCCCCUCCUCUGUGAUUCCCUCGCUCUCUAUCUGCUGUCUGUCAAACCCGAAAUACGCCGUAAAGACAUCAGUUUAAAUCAUUACCAAAGUUUGGAGAGGGCCCAAUAUGUAGAACUGUGAAGCUUAAACUCAUCCUGCAUGAUAACGAGUUUUUCUUUUCUUUUUUUUUUUAUCUUCCAAUUUCAUUUUCGUUCCAGGUGCUAUUUUAAACUCAUCCUGCAUUAUAACCAGUUUUUCUUUUCUUUUCUUUUUUUUUUUAUCUUCCAAUUUCAUUUUCCUUCCAGGUGCUAUUUCCUCUCAUCGCCCACCUAUGACAACAACCGCCGUGUUCUUCACGGGGACGCUUUGAACUAAAUUUCAGAACAAGGUCACCCAGGAAGACGGCUGCUCUGACGGCGCGCUGAAUCCUGAAUCCAUUCAUGAGUUUCUCCCCAAACAAACAAACACGGCUCUCUCAUCCAAACACGCAUCAGUACGAACUCCAUCCUCCGUCUUUGUCUGUGCUGUUAUUUUUAUUGACGUGUUCUUAAAUUGAUCCAAUGUGCCGCGGAUGAAGGUACUCGAGUGAACCGUCUUUGGUUCGUUUUUUACCCACAAAAAGCACUUAUUCGGUCUUGUUUACCCUAUCAACCAAAGAGAGGAUGAGUCUUCCAGCCAUGAGAGCUUAAUAAUCUCUGCUCUGUAUCAUCUGUCUCUCCAAUAAACUCCAUUUAUUUAUGGUUCAUAGAUGUUGUGCUCGUUGCUCUUCCUUUCAGGCCAGGUCAGGCUGAACUUGCUUCGAUGAGACUCUUUACAAACAUAAUAUGUCCUUUGACUAUGCAGGAGUAAAUCUUCAGUACUGUAUCCUUGUCAUGCAUUAAGCCUAAAGGCUGAUUUAUAUUUUGCAUAGGAGACAGAAACGGAGGCAGCGUUGGAGGAGGGGGCGGCGGUCGGUCAGGCCACUAAAUGCCUCGCGGUUGGAGGACAGAGAGUUCUUUUAAUGAUGAGAGAAAUUGACGACGAUCAUCAUUUUCAAGUACUUCAGGAAGUCUGCCGGGGCAUUCGACAACUUGCUUCGCUGGGUGGCCCCCCACAUCCUGCACCACAAGUCAACAUAUAGCUGGAAAUAUGGAGGAAAAGAGCGUAAUGCCUGGACGGAAAGCUAUGUCCGUAUCUGGAUUCGUGUUCAACGUUGAGCAUUAAUGAGCCUUAAAACAUACAGCGUGUUCCGUCAGCGUUGCGUGCCCCACAGCGAAUAGGUUGCCAUUCUAAUCAAUGCAGCGUUGCACACAUGAAGCGUCUCUACUUCGUCGCAACUCCGUCUCAGAAGUGUGUCGAGCGUGGCUAUGCUAAAGAUACACGCCGAGUCUAUUUUUGCUGCUUUACACUUCCAACACGUGUCAAUCUACACAGAGAAGAUCGUUCUAGACAGGAUGUAAAACACAAAAACCACGAAUGUCAUCCGGUAUUUCAAAAUAAAACACCAUAUGCGGACUCCUGACUGUGUAUCAGCUUGUGUUGAUGAGAAAUACUUCCUGGUUAUGGAUUUAUCAGGAACACAGAACAAUCUGAUAGUCAAUCCCUGAUCCAUGUGGACCCAAACAGGACUUUGAAGUGCUAACUCUGUCUGAAGGUAACAGCACAGCAUGAAGGAAAAUCAUUGACUUUAUUAAACACGAGUAAACCUGCAAAAACCCAAACUGUAAAAUCACAUUGACUUAUCACAUAGAGUAGAGGCUCAACAGUCACUGAAUUAUAUCCAAAUUAUCAGGAAAUAGACCGCAAAACAACCUGUUGUGAGCAUGUUGUUUCCUCUAUACUGAGCCCAGCUGACCGGGGCUGAACUACGCUGCUGCUACUCUCCAAAUACACAGAGACACGAUGCUGACAGAAGCUUUGGUCUGAAAUGUGGCAAGGCUGGCCCUCGAUAUCUCAUCAGCCUCUGAUCUCUGGCACCUGAGAAACCUCGACAAAAGGCAGAGCCAAGCUUCUCCCUCACUCAGCCAGGAUCAUCUCAACUCUAUCUUUGUUUAGACCUUAACCUGAUUUCACUGAAAAUAAACUUUUAUUUUAUUUUGCCUUUUUGAUUCCCUUGUGUUGUAACACUGCAAUCAUCUUCACCAACAACUUGAAGCUCAGGUGACCAUAUUUUGAAUCCCCAAUAAGAGGCCAUUUCAACCAGGAGUUGCUUGUAGUGAAGUUUGAGAGUUUUUCGGAUCAGGUCGGGUGUUUUUUUCACGCUUCCAACCUAGCAAGUCCAUGCGACACAAACUCAAAACUUCCAUUCAAAACCCCGGACAUUUGAAGGAUUUUAAAAUUCCCCCAGACAAGGCCAGACAGCCCCAAAAAAGGAGGACAUGUCCGGGUAAAAGAGGACGUAUAAUCACCCUACUUGAAGCGCAACCUCACAAUAUCGAUGCAAAAAUCACCGGGAACUUUGAGCUCUUGUGUUUCCUGCUAGUCUCACACUUUCAAACAGAAGUAGAAUGAUCCAAAGCAUGACUAGACUCUGAAUCUGAAUGAUUUACCCAACAGCAACAUAGCAAAGGUCCGCUAUCACUCUCAGCGGCUGGAUCUGGGAGCAGCCACUUAGCAUCUCCUCCUGACCUUGGCUGUCAUGUUAGCAUGCAUGAGCAAUCUGCAUCCCUGACGCUUUGAUGUGCCGCCGUCUCUCCUUCUCCAUCCAUGCAUGAGCAAGUUAAAGAUUUCCUGCCCGGGUCAAUCAUAUUGAAUGGGGGUCUGAUCGACUGUGACAGGGAGCUCUCUCUCAGACCGAGCUCGCGGGGUGCCAGGAAAGCGUUUCACCUCGGCCAGGUGCAGUCACCUUGGCCGUGAGCAAUGAGCUCCGAGGUUGGCUGAGUAAUUCCCCCAUGUUUCUCUCGGGGGUUAGCACAUCAAAGAGAUCUGCAUGUAGAUUAAAGCCCCCGAGCUCGAAGAGAGUUUACCCUUAGCCUGUUCGCAUGCACUCCCACAACAACAGAGAAUAUCUAAACAGAGGGACCGGGAACACAGCGAGAGCUCUUUCUUCUAUCAUCUGAAGUAAAUAGAGAAAGCGAGCCACGAGCAAGUCAUUAAAAGACCACCUGUUCUGCAUCUCCAUCUCAGCCUUUAAGUAUCAUAUCGACAGCAAAACAUCCAAGACCCGUGCAGCAUGCGCACCGCCAAGUAAACACAUCUGAGCGCUUGCACACAUGCAGACGCAUCCACACACACCAUUAGACAUAUGCCUCUGGUUAAGGUGAUGAUGCACAACAUAUGGCGCUCAAGAGCCCACUAAAACCCCCUUGCAGAGAACACAAGGAUCUAUAGGAUUAGUGUGCGAGGAGUUCAUGCAUCCAGAACUUUCAGAUUUAGGUCGCUGGCAAAGGUUGACAGGCUAACAGGCUGCUUCAGAAGUUUAAUUAGUUUUUAUGGGACCAACUUUUUCCAAAUAAGAAAAAUGAGCGACUAUUACGGUCACAUGAUAGCUCGCUGUUGAAUACUUAAUAAAGUUGCGGUGAUUAUCUCGGCGGAGAGCAGAGGGCAUUGUCUCAUUGAUGAGUUGUCAGCAAUUACAGGACAGAUGUUCUGAGGGAAGAGCUGAUAAUCACAGUUAUCACCGACCGACUCGAUAUCACUUGUUCCUGCAGCGUCUAUUGUUCCAUUAGAGCUCAGGCGAAACAGAGUGUACUCACCGAGAGACUGGAGGGAGAUUUCAGGAUGCUGGUUUCGGCCUCUGCGUGUGAAGCGCUCGCACAGAUGCUGUCGUCCUCGAGGCGGAAAGCCCAGGUUAGAUUGUGUCCUGAGGCUUCUUGUCAGUCCCCGCUCAGUCCUCCUCGUUUCCUUCUCUAUCCAGAGUCCUCUCUCUAAAAACACACACAUUCAUGCUGCUUUCAAAUCAGUGUGAAGUUAGUUUUCUCUGUCCUCCACUGACCUGUGAAUCACUUCUCCAAAAACUACCUUGAAUAGAGAAAGAUUUAAACUACAAAAACUGAGCAUAGGGGCUAGUUCAGGCAGGCCACAAAGUCAAGUCUUAUUUUAACCAAAAGGUAGGUGGACUGUCUGCACACUGGGAGUCUUAACUGUCGCUUUUCCUGCCUUGGCUUUUUCACAUCUGCAUGUUGAAGGGCAGAAAACUCCCAGAGCCAAGGAAAUAUAACCAUGACAUAAAAAAAUCCUGGCUGAACUCCUGAAGAUUUAAAAAUUGUCUAUUUUCAGAAGGAGCUUAUAUACCGGCUAAAAUGACAGCUAGCUACACUGCAAAAACUAAAUUCCCAGAUAACGGAUCAGUCAAACUUUUGGGCAAAAUAUCUCUCUACACCUGAUGAGUGUCACUUAAAACAGAAACACAUAUAUACUUAAAGGUUUUCAAUCAAAGAAUAAAUAAGAGGUCUUUUUUUUUUAGAAAAACUCAAAGAAAAUUUGUAUCUUGAAUUGAAUGUUGAAAGAUUUGAGAUUUUGCAGCAUGUUUUAGUUAAAGGUAAGCUCCACAUGUUGACUUAAAGAAAGUGUUGUUCCAUUUUCUUCCCUGUAAAUCUAUUUAACGCUCCUCUAAAAAUGUGCAUGAUUUUCACUUUUUUCAUGCUUGAUGCUAAAAUACAGACUUUUUAAUUAAGAGGGCAUAUCAGUUUUGGAAUAAUAAUAAUAAUAAUAUACAUAAUAAUUCUAUUUGUAUAGCACCUUUAAAAACAGAUGUUUACAAAGUGCUUUAACAGAAGAAGCAAACAAAGGCAGAAACAGACGAAGGAAAAUUGACAGUUAAAAAUGGCCGUUAAAGAUUGACAGUUUGUUAGGAUGAGUUUCUUUAGCCAGUCAUGUCAGCCUUUAGAGUGGUGGAGCUGUGUCUCUCAAAUAUCUCAGAUACUUCAGUGUUAGAUUGCUGGAGCUGGGGGCCUUCGACAACUAUCCUCAACAAGGACCCUGUACCCAUGUUUUACAUCACUCAGGUCCCCAAAAUAUGUUCUGUCAUGGUAUUUCCUUCUAUGGACCCUCCAUAUGUUCACCUAAAGCUCCUUAAAAUAUGUUGUUCUUUGUUCUUACCGUACAUGGAUUUUUCUUAGGGUCAACUAAAUGUCAGCAGUAUGUUUAGAAAUGUGGACGACGAUAUAUACUUGAACAGUCUUGAACCAUUCUUUGUCACACUUGUGGCAUGAUAAAGCUGUAACCCAGAUCUGCAACCAGUAAAGCCUGUCAAAAUGAUAAUUCGUUUGGACCUUCCAUUCUUUAAAGUAAGAACAUGGGCUAGGCAUCCUUACACAGUUGGUGGUUGACGGCAUCACAUCAGGAUGAUGAAAAGGAGGAAGAUGGAUAGAGGACAGAUAAAAAAAGAGGAAGAGAAAAGAAUACAAGGUAAGGUAAAAUAAGAGUGAUAAUGAAAAGGGAGGGAGUAUAUAAAAAUAUGAGAAAAUGUUAAAAACAGGAUGACUGCUACUAAAACUGAUUCAUAACUGUUCUAAAAGAAAAUCUAACUUUGUUUGCAAACUUCACUCUCUUAUUUUGUUUGUGCGCUGCAAAUGCUCACAUAGUUCAAAUUUGAAAAACAUGUUAAGUCAAUGCAACAGCAAAAACGAGCUGCAAAAAACCUGAAACAUCACAUCAAAUGGAAAUGCUGCGAAUGGACAAAAAGUGCAAGGUGAAAACAGACAAAUUCUGAAAACAUAUUCUUGACUUUCCAGAUGGAGCGCUUCAGGCCCGUAGGGGAGCAGACUGAAACAGCUUCACUAUCACCAAGACCCUUUCACCUGUGCAUGUGUUUUGAAUUUGCACCUGCAGCAUAUCUCAGAGACUGUUAGGGGCGUUUCAGAUUAUCUGCCCUGGUUGGCCACAGUAUGUGACUAAAAACUUUAAAGAAAUUCUAUCACAGAAGACAGAAAUCUGAAUCCAACUUUUAUGAAGGUUAGAAUUUCCUUAAACAAACUCUGGUGUUUACGAAUGCUCACCUUUUUAUCAAAUUAUGCAGAUGAACUUCUCGUUAAAGAGACUGACAGAUGUUUGAAUGCAAAUUCAUGAGCGCGGGAACUUGUAAAUGAGCGUCAUUAUCGCCGCCGUCAGGGGAAAAGUUGAGCUACUGUUAAAUGUUUAGUUUUUCUUUAAGUCUAAAGAUCAUAUCUGCGUGACAGAAACGAAAUCUCAAGUGAUUUUUCAGAAACCAUUAAUACGUGAAUGCUCCGAGAGAAUGAGAGAAUGAUGGAUCCGUGCAUCAUUAUUCCAACAUUACACAGAUGUUCCUCAUGGGGACACUUAAUAAAGGUCAGCGUUUCAAAACCUGAAAGGCCAACAGUCUGCUUUUGAUGGAACGUAGAUGGAUGAAUCGCCCUGAUGCAGAUAAACCCCGGGGAUCCCUCUAUUAUAUGCAAAGGCUUGUUGAGACUUGAAUGCAACAUCGGUGUCAUUUCAUCACUGAUUAAAAUGCAGCGCCUCAAAUGCCACCGAGAAACCACAACUGGCGCUUGAGGGAGAAUUUUCCAAAAUGAGUCUAAGAAGAAGAGGAAGAAGGUGAGACCAGUCUGCACCUUAAGACACACAAAGGGGGCCGUCUUGGCGCUGUCUUUAGCGGUGAUACCCAUGCAACGCGGGGUCGGGGUCGCAUCUGGCGCUCCCUGGAUCCGAUCUGAGCAAUCAGACGGAGCUGGCGAAGCAUCACACGGCAGCCUCGGUGCUCAGCAGGAGCGAAGGAACGCAGAAAAAGAGAGCAAGGAAGAAGAGUGGGCGAGAGGUGUACAGAUGGUGGAUAACUCCUCAUACGUACAUGCUGCACGUACUUCCUCCCCGUAUAUCUUAUCUCUCAAGUGUCCUCAUUUUCUAAAUUAAAUCUCAAAUCUUUACCGACUCUUUCCUGUCGUCUUGUCUCUUUGAUUUGACUCCAAAAGGAAGGUACUUUUAUAGAGAACAAGGAGGUCCUUGAAAAAGAGAAGAUAUUCAUCUUUUGUUCCUAACAACAUCCCUCAUCCGGAGAUUUCCAUCAUCAUUUAUGCUCCUCUUGUCACGGUGACGUCUCAAUAGAAAGUUGAAAGAAAAUCUCUGCAACAAUUUGAGUAGAAAACAUGAAUCGAUGCAUAUUUCGUGUCAAGGAGGACGCGGUAAUGCCGACUGUUUAAGGACAACUGAAUCUUCUACGUGUUGAAACCUCAAUAAGAAGCUUUAAUAAGUUUCCGUCAGUAAAAUCUGCUAACCUUUAUUUGUACAGGCUUUUUAUUUCGUCCACAAAAAGAUCAAAUUUCAUUGUCUUACUUCCAGAUGAUGGGGUUCAGUUUAUUUUCCCCUUCUAUUAUUUUAAAUAUCAAUACAAAACUGCUUUUAUUGUGCUAAAGUGACACACUGACUGUCUUCAUCCACCAAGAGCGAGUAAAAUCAUUCGCGCGAAUGAAUUACAUGUUAAGUCAAUGCAAAGACGCGAUUAGAUGCCUCUACUAGUUUGGCUGCACGAAUGAAGCGAAUUGGGCGUGAACUGAAAAUGUUCUUAACUUGAGCGGAUGUUUGCAUCGCGAAAUUACCGUUGACGCACGAAUAAAACGAGUAAAUACUAUUUUAAGUGUCUAGAUUCACGCGAAUUAAGCGAGUUAAGCGAGUAGACGAUUUUACUCGCGCACCAUGACAGCUCUCAGUUCCCCCUUUUUGUCUCAGUGCUGCUGUGGCAUUCACAAAAUUUUACAUACUGCAAAUGUGACAUGAUGCAUUUCUGUGAAAGUAAAAACUAUUAGCUGUUUAUUCCACUAACGUGAAGAAGGGUUGCACUAGUAGAAACAGAGAGAGCUACAGCAGU